UUUCUGGAGAAGCUUCAUGUUGCCUUAGGCCUUUCUGUCUGAGCCAUGACAACUGAUGUCCUUAUCUUCGUCUAUAAAGAGCUGAGACACUUGGCAACCAUAAAGCAACAUGCUCUUCAGUUUGGCCACUGCUUUUCAAGAAAGAUGGAAUAAAGAUUGAAAAGACAAAAAGAAUUAUGGUAAUGGGAAAAAUGAAGUUGACAUACAAGGAUAAAUUGGCAGACAGAUUUAAAAAUGUGAGGUAUCUACUCCACUGGAGUCCCUGCUGGCCAUACAAAGGGAGUGGAUUGAUAUAACGAGGGUCUAAAAGCUUGAGUCUGGCUAAGGAAGAAUGGUUACCAGGAUAACUGAGAAUGAAGAAGGUGAUUACAGACUAUGAACCAGGUAUCCCUUCUCCAGUUUUGGCAUUUAGGGGAGGGUUGCUUAUAGUGGAGCUGGGAAUAUGAAUAAUAUGUUAGGACAUGAAAGACAGGAUCUACAGUGUAUUCUGUGUAGUGUUACUGGGCAAAGAACCUGCAGACAGGCUGUUGUAACUCAGACAGGUCAGAUUUGAGAAGAUACUGCCCUGGAAAUGGCAAUUACUGAGGUGUUGUAUUCUCACUGAUUUUCAUUGUUCAACUCUUUCUGGCAAUAAGAAUUAUAUUUACUGUUCUCUGGAUUCAUCCCUGAAUGAGUGAAGACCCAGUUUUGCACACUAAGACUUAACAAUUGCUAAGGAACUUCAUACUGUAGAAGUACUUAUAUACAUACUUAAUAUACAUAUACAUACUUAAUAAAAACGGUAGGUUGUUUUUUUCU